UACAGAGGGUGCAAGCGUUGUUCGGAAUUAUUGGGCGUAAAGCGCGUGUAGGCGGCUUAGCAAGUCGGGCGUGAAAGCCCUCGGCUCAACCGAGGAAGUGCACCCGAAACUGCUGAGCUUGAGUGCCGGAGAGGAUGGCGGAAUACCCCAAGUAGAGGUGAAAUUCGUAGAUAUCGAGAGGAACACCUGCGGCGAAGGCGGGUUGCUGGGCUGACACUGACGCUGACAGCGCGAAAGCUAGGGGAGCGAACGGG
rnacentral:rRNA from 1 species